ACGGAGGGUGCAAGCGUUAAUCGGAAUUACUGGGCGUAAAGCGCACGUAGGUCGUUGUGUAAGUCAGAGGUGUAAUCCCACGGCUUAACCGUGGAACUGCCUUUGAUACUGCUCAACUUGAAUUCGGGAGAGGAUAGCGGAACUCCAUGUGGAGCAGUGAAAUGCGUAGAUAUAUGGAAGAACAUCAGUGGCGAAGGCGGCUAUCUGGACCGAUAUUGACGCUGAGGUGCGAAAGCGUGGGUAGCAAACAG
rnacentral:rRNA from 1 species